rnacentral:rRNA from 1 species
CCUACGGGGUGCAGCAGUGAGGAAUAUUGGUCAAUGGGCGGAAGCCUGAACCAGCCAAGUAGCGUGCAGGAUGACGGCCCUACGGGUUGUAAACUGCUUUUAUACGGGAAUAACGCGCCUUACGUGUAGGGCUUUGCAUGUACCGUAUGAAUAAGGACCGGUUAAUUCCGUGCCAGCCGCCGCGGUAAUACGGAGGGUCCGGGCGUUAUCCGGAUUUAUUGGGUUUAAAGGGAGCGUAGGCCGCAUGUCAAGCGUGCUGUGAAAUGUCCGGGCUCAACCCGGGCAUUGCAGCGCGAACUGGCGGGCUUGAGUCCGCGGAAGGCAGGCGGAAUUCGUCGUGUAGCGGUGAAAUGCUUAGAUAUGACGAAGAACCCCGAUUGCGAAGGCAGCUUGCUGCAGCGGAACUGACGCUGAUGCUCGAAAGCGCGGGUAGCGAACAGGAUUAGAUACCCGAGUAGUC